CAGGCACAUUUAUGAAUGAGCUUUUCAUGGAUACUGCUCCAACAAAGGUCACUCAGUGAGCAUGGAACUGGAGCAAAGGGAGACGGAGGAUCUCAGUGGAU